rnacentral:lncRNA from 1 species
GAAAAUGAGUGAAAAGAAGCCAAAAUCAAAAUUUAGAAUUUGACCUUGACCUUUGACCUUGACCUAAUUUUCAUUUUUUUGGACCAAGGAUCUUAAAUGAAAAGACCCUAGGUCUCUAUCACUUAUGGUUUACCAGUUAGAAAUGCAUUUCACUUAUAUCAUAUACAAAAGGGGGAAUAACUCUCAUAUGGAAUCUCUAUACGGCUUCGGUCAAGAUAAAACAGCACAUCCUGAGGAUAUAAUGAGCAAUUUACAAAAAUAAAUUUGUCUGUUUCUUGUACGGUUGUGAAGAUUACGCGAUAACAAGAAAAACAGUGUUCGGGGAGAUAACUCUUAUAUGGGAAAGAUUUUGGUUACGCGGUGUCAGUUACAAAAGCGUAAUAACUGUUUGAUAUCAUAUACCAUAUGUCUAAGCGACAUCUUGCGAAACAAAAAAAUUGCGAAGGAACAAAAAGUUGGCGGAAGAAAAAAA